AUGAAGAAGUGCGCGUCGGAGCUGGAGUUCGAGGCCUUCAUUCGGCAGCACAUCGCCGCCGCCGAGGCCGAGGCCCAGCGGGGCAGGCCCGGGCAUGGAAACGACGACGGCGGGUUCGGCGGUGAUCCUGGCGCCAGAGCGGACGUGUUCUCCCCCGGCGGUGGCCUGCCGGGCCUCUGCUUCGGCGACUCGCAGAACGCCCUGGAGCUGGAAGGGAGCAACGCCGGCCACCUGUGGUGGUCCGAAGGCCUCCGGGCGCCGCACCACACCGUCCCGGCGCCAACCCAGUCGCAAACGCCCGCCGUCUCCGCUAGCCCGAGGGAAACAAUCUCAGGGAACCAGGCUCUCGAAACCGAGUCGGACUCUGACAGCGAGUCAUUGGUCGAGAUAGGGGGCGGCCGAUGCAAGCGGAGCGGCAAAUCAUCAGAUACAAGGCGAAUAAGAAGGAUGGUGUCCAACAGGGAGUCAGCUCGACGGUCCAGGAGGAGGAAGCACGCGCAGCUAACUGACCUUGAGUUGCAGGUCGAGCAACUUAAAAGCGAAAGUGCAACCCUCUUCAAGCAACUGACAGAGGCCAACCAGCAGUUCACCACCGCAGUCACGGACAACAGAAUCCUCAAAUCAGAUGUAGAGACCUUACGAAUCAAGGUAAAAAUGGCAGAAGACAUGGUAGCUAGAGGAGCGGUGUCCUGCGGCUUAGGACAGCAGCUCGGAUUGGCACCAUUUCUGAACUCCAGGAAGAUGUGA
rnacentral:rRNA from 1 species